rnacentral:rRNA from 1 species
CACGUAGGGCGCAAGCGUUGUCCGGAAUUAUUGGGCGUAAAGAGCUCGUAGGCGGUCUGUUGCGUCUGCUGUGAAAACCCGGGGCUUAACCCCUGGCUUGCAGUGGAUACGGACAGACUAGAGGUAGGUAGGGGAGAAUGGAAUUCCCGGUGUAGCGGUGAAAUGCGCAGAUAUCGGGAGGAACACCGGUGGCGAAGGCGGUUCUCUGGACAGUUCCUGACGCUGAGGCGCGAAGGCCAGGGGAGCAAACGGG